rnacentral:rRNA from 1 species
AGAGUUUGAUCCUGGCUCAGGACGAACGCUGGCGGCGCGCCUAACACAUGCAAGUCGAACGGUGAACGGAGCUUCGGCUCCGGGAUCAGUGGCGAACGGGUGCGUAACACGUGGGCAACCUGCCCUUCACUCUGGGAUAACCCCGGGAAACCGGAGCUAAUACCGGAUACUCCGCUCCCACCGCAUGGCGGGAUCGGGAAAGGUCCGCCGGUGAGGGAUGGGCCCGCGGCCUAUCAGCUUGUUGGUGAGGUAACGGCUCACCAAGGCGACGACGGGUAGCUGGUCUGAGAGGACGACCAGCCACACUGGGACUGAGAUACGGCCCAGACUCCUACGGGAGGCAGCAGUGGGGAAUCUUGCACAAUGGGCGAAAGCCUGAUGCAGCGACGCCGCGUGAGGGAUGAAGGCCUUCGGGUCGUAAACCUCUUUCGGCAGGGACGAAGCGAUCUCGUGACGGUACCUGCAGAAGAAGCCUCGGCUAACUACGUGCCAGCAGCCGCGGUAAGACGUAGGAGGCGAGCGUUGUCCGGAUUCAUUGGGCGUAAAGAGCGCGCAGGCGGCUUGGUAAGUCGGAUGUGAAAUCCCGAGGCUCAACCUCGGGUCUGCAUCCGAUACUGCCCGGCUAGAGGUAGGUAGGGGAGAUCGGAAUUCCUGGUGUAGCGGUGAAAUGCGCAGAUAUCAGGAGGAACACCGGUGGCGAAGGCGGAUCUCUGGGCCUUACCUGACGCUCAGGCGCGAAAGCUAGGGGAGCGAACUGGAUUAGAUACCCUAGUAGUCC